rnacentral:lncRNA from 1 species
AUAACAAAAUAAUGUGUUGAUCAGUUGUAAAUGUUAUGAUCAGAAACUCUCGAGAACCCAACCCUGUGUUUCCCCCAGGAGCGACGGUGUGGUAUUUGCUAAUUCAGUGCUGGAGGCAACUUUACAGAACAUAACCACCAGGAAAAAUAGCCCACUGUUCUUAUGAAGAUGGGCUAAGCCAAGCCCUCUGCUGACCUGAGGCUUCCUCUCUGGCUUCCUCCCCAGUCUUGUCAAAGCUCAGAGAGAGUCCUGUGACAACAAGAGAGCAAGAUGGAUGUUGGUUCCUUUGGGAAGACUCGAAGAGUCACAAGGAGUCACAAAAGAGCAAAAGGCAGGAUUUCAUUCGUCCAUCUGGCCAGGAGAUGAGGCCUAACAGCCUUUUGCAGGCCUUCAUUAAUUUGUGUUCCUACACGGCUGCAUGGAGGAGGGCUGCUCUGACAUCCAAGGAACAAGAAAUGAACAAUUGGGGGCGUCUGGCUGGCUCACUUGGUAAAGUAUCAACUCUUGAUCUCAGGGUUGUGGGUUCAAGCCCAGGUUGGGUGUAGAGAUAACUUAAAAAUAAAAAUCUUUCUUUUUAAAUAAAAAUCUUGAGA